UGCUGGGUCUGCUCUUCCUCGGGCUGGGGCUGUUCAUCUACUUCAGGAACCAGAAGGACAGUCUGGACUCCAGCCGACAGGACUCCUGAGCUGAGCUUAGGUGACAAGGCUGAAGGAAGGAGCUCUUUUGUCUCCACAUCAUGAAAUCUUUUCCUUCUGGGCUCAAGUUCCUCCACUGACAGUGCUUCCCCAGGACCUGCCUGCCUCCUCCUGGCUCUGGACCCUACAGACGUGUGCUCCCUGUCCAGCCCCUGGCCUCAGCCUGGCAUCCUCUGGGACAGAAGUAACUCCAUUUCCACCUGCCCCUUACGUGGUGCAUCUGAGCCAAUCUAUGAUGUGGGAUUUCCCUCUGUGUGCUGUUAAUAUGUUUUA